rnacentral:lncRNA from 1 species
UAGGUCCUUCUGCCAAAAAACUUAGUCGGAGUUCUCUUUCCUCCUUCUUAGAGAGAGAUAAUUUUCUCGGUUUCUUCUUCCCUCUUAACUCAAUUCUAUCUUUCAGAGGGAAAUGAAUCAUGGGGGAGGAGAAGAGAAUUUUUGUUUUCUGAUCAAUAGAUCAGAUCCUUUUGUCUUGUAAUACAUUUUCGAUCUCUUGAUCGAAUAUCUUUUCGGUUAACCAAUUUUCAUCUUCGCAAGGCGAAUAUUUUUGUAGUGGUUUCUAGCUUGUCUUUACUCUCCUUCUUCAUUUUAUCACAUUCUGGUUACCUCUUUGAUUUUCUUCUGUUCUGUCGGUCAUGCUCAAUCUCUAUUUCUAGAUGAAAUCAAUCUUUGUCAUUAAAACUGAUUUAGGCAAAGCAUUCAGAAAGGAUAGAAGCUUGAGGUUUACAUAAAAGUCUUCCCGGUUUGGCUCAGUUUAAGGAGAGUUAAAGCUUGUUUCUACAAGUGUUUUGACAAUAACUGAUAUCAAAUCGAUUGAAGCUUUGUGGAGCACAACACAUCCAAGGAAGAGAUUGAAGAUCAUAGAAGGCAAAGGCGCAUAGGAGAGUAAGUUGGUAUUCGGGUACUGGUAUCGCGGCGGAGAGAAGAUACAGGAAGUGAUGCAUCGGAAAGUCAUGGUGGAGAAGCUCUGAAGCGGACAUGCUUACCGUUUUUUGCAUGUUGGACGUGUGUCAGAUGACGUGUCUCGUGCGGCUCCAUUGAUCGUCAACAUCAAUACACGAAGACUUUAGAUUAUUGUUUUUUGGACUGUAAUUUUAUUACUCUUUAUUGGGUUUUGUUAUGUAUAAAACCCAAAUACCAUAUGUAAUCUUGCCAUUUGGACCAGA